rnacentral:misc_RNA from 1 species
GAUGAAGAACGUAUCGAAAUGCGAUAAGUAGUGUGAAUUGCAGAAUUUAGUGAAUCAUCGAAUCUUUGAACGCACAUUGCGCCCUAUAGUAUUCUGUAGGGCAUGCCUGUUCGAGCGUUAUUGAGACCUCAAGCUCUGCUUGGAAAUGGGCGCUUGUCUUGCCUUGCAGACUCGCCUUAAAACCAUUGGCAGCUGAUUUACAAUGUUUGGUGCACAGUACAUGAGCCCAAGUGUUGCAAUGAGUGGCCCAAAAGUAUACAAUAGAAGCUUAACCUCGGAUCAGGUAGGGAUACCCGCUGAACUUAAGCAUAUCAAUAAGCGGAGGA